CCUAGUAAGAAGCGGCAAGAGUGGUGUGGGUGUUGGAUGUAUGUCCCAGAAGUCAAUCUUGGCUGACACAUUUCAUAUCUCUAGGAUAUGAUUUUGUACUUAUGGGACAGUUAUAUUAUCAUUCAUGUUUAUGUGUCCAUAAAUCAUCUAAGAGAUUAACAAGAUGAUGACACAUAUUCUUAAAGAGUUAAAAAAUUGAGACAUAUGUCAUUAAUAAUUGAUUCCUAAAUUAUUUCUGAUCAUAGGAUCAUCAUGGAG
rnacentral:lncRNA from 1 species